rnacentral:misc_RNA from 1 species
ACCGCUAUUCCUCCAGAAAAAAGUCAUUCUCCGGACCUACGUCUCUCUUUUUUUUAUCGUCUAACGGACGUCUCUCUCUGUGCGAGGAAAAAUGUCUGCGAAUCAUCAACACCUGCUACGCCUAGUCCUCUCGUGCCGGAAAAUCACGGCGCAGGUCACAAACCCCACAACCUCCACCAUCAUAGCCAUAGCCUCCUCCACGGAGCAAGAGUUCCUCGCCCAGUAUCGCACCAGACUCAACCGCUUCCCGCGAUCCCACCACAACUGGGAUGCCAAAAUGGCAUCGCGUGUCGGCGAGAAGCUAGGGUUCCGCCUCCAGCACCAGCAUCAAUAUCGACCUCGACGAAGAACUUUCUCGCCCUAUUCAUUACAGGAAGAGGGUCUUGCCCCUGUUCGAUUCGGUGAAACGCGUUGGCGUGGCCGUCGAUGGGGCGGAGAAAUUAGGAGAGGUUAGCCCCCGGUAGAUUACGCUUGGAAGGUGAUCACUGAAUAGGAAAAGUCCUCUGUUUUGAUACUCCUAGUCCCUCAUCCUGUCAAAGCAAGAAGAAUCAUCAAUCAUUGCGCUCCUUGUGGCAACAUCACCACCCUUUUCAAUUAGAAAACAAUCGCAGCAACUGUGGCCACC